CCUACGGGAGGCAGCAGUGGGGAAUAUUGGGCAAUGGGCGCAAGCCUGACCCAGCAACGCCGCGUGAAGGAAGAAGGCUUUCGGGUUGUAAACUUCUUUUCUCAGGGACGAAGAAAGUGACGGUACCUGAGGAAUAAGCCACGGCUAACUACGUGCCAGCAGCCGCGGUAAUACGUAGGUGGCAAGCGUUAUCCGGAUUUAUUGGGUGUAAAGGGCGUGUAGGCGGGAGCGCAAGUCAGAUGUGAAAACUCAGGGCUCAACCCUGAUCCGGCAUUUGAAACUGUGUUUCGUGAGUGCUGGGGAGGCAAUCGGAAUUCCGGGUGUAGCGGUGAAAUGCGUAGAUAUACGGAGGAACACCAGUGGCGAAGGCGGAUUGCUGGACAGUAACUGACGCUGAGGCGCGAAAGCGUGGGGAGCAAACAGGAUUAGAUACCCCUGUAGUC
rnacentral:rRNA from 1 species